GACGAACCGUGCGAACGUUGUUCGGAAUCACUGGGCUUAAAGGGCGCGUAGGCGGGCUCGCAAGUCAGGGGUGAAAUCCUGCAGCUUAACUGCAGAAGUGCCUUUGAUACUGUCGGUCUUGAGGGAGAUAGGGGUGUGCGGAACUCACAGUGGAGCGGUGAAAUGCGUUGAUAUUGUGAGGAACGCCGGAGGCGAAAGCGGCGCACUGGAUCUCUUCUGACGCUGAGGCGCGAAAGCUAGGGGAGCAAACGGGG
rnacentral:rRNA from 1 species